GCCGCGGACCGUGGCGGGGGCUGGGAGGAUAGGCGUGGGGUCCCGGCAGUGAUGCGGGUUCUAGAGGCGCAGAGCGGGUAGGCGAGGCCGGUGGCCCUAGGCCCGGAGUCUGCAGGCCGCGCUCCUGUCCUGCCGCUGAGGGACCCGGUUACCAACCGGCAUGACGCUCAGUUUGCCCAUCUGUCCCAGUGCUAACACACAGUUCUCGGGAGACGUUCCCCAUUCCCAGAGGAGUAGUGUGAAACGCGUGCGCCUCUAGUCUUAAACUUGCCGUUUGUAUUAGUUGGGUUUCCUGGUGUCUCUUUAGCAAGUGAAAUUUCUGGUUCCCUCCUUCACUGUGUGACCUGCCUAGUCCUCCUGGGUUGCAUUUACAGAAGUUUAUAUGAGACCUAGUUUCCAGGGAAGAACUCACUGAUUCCGCGAGGGAGAUGGCGUAGUGGAUAAUGGUCUUCAGCCUUAAGGGUACUUCAGUCUUAACUGUGUGUUACAAAGUUUGAAAGGGAGGGUUCCCUAUGAAUAAGAAGCACACUUGAAAGAACAGCUGUCUGGUCUAACCUCUCACUGGUGCUUCAGAGGAGGAAAAAAGAUCACAGCUAUGUUUCCAGUGUCCUCUGGGUGUUUCCAAGAGCAACAAGAAAUGAAUAAAUCUCUGGCCGCAAAGCACUCCAAAUGUCCACUUGCAGAUUCUACAAAAAGAGUGUUUACAAACUGCUCAAUAAAAAGAAAUUUUCAACUCUGUGAGAUGAAUGGACACAUCACAAACCAGUUUCUCAGAAUUCUUCUGUCUAAUUUUAAUGUGAAGAUAAUUCCUUUCCCACUAUAGGCCUAAAAACCCUCAAAAUGUCCACUUGCAGAUUCUACAAAAAGAGAGUUUCAAAACUCCUCAAUCAAAAGAAAGUUUUAACUCUGUGGGAUGAAUGCACACGUCACAAAGAAGUUCCUCAGAUUGCUUCUCUCUAGAUUUUAUUUGAAGAUAUUUCCUUUUGUAACUUUGGCCACAAAGCGCUCCAAAUGUCCACUUGCAGAUUCUGCAAAAGAUUGUUGCCAAAAUGCUCAAUCAAAAGAAAGUUUCAACGCGGUGAGAUGAACUCAGCCAUCACAAACAAGUUUCUCAUAAUUCUUCUGUCUAGUUUUUAUGUGAAGAUAUUUCCUUUCCCACCAUAGGCCUCAAAGCACUCCAAAUGUUCACUUGCAGAUUCUACAAAAAGAGAUUUCAUAGACUGUGUAAUCAAAAGAAUGGUUUAACUCUGUGAGGUGAAUGCACACAUCACAAAGUAGUUUCUGAGAUUGCUUCUGUCUAAAUUUUAUUUGAAGAUAUUUCCUUUUCUAACAUAGGCCGCACAGCCCUCCAGUGUUCUACUUGCAGAUUCUACAAUAAGAGUAUUUCCAAACUGCUCAAUAAAAAGAAAUGUUCAACUCUGUGAGAUGAACUAACGAAUCACAAAGAAAGGUGAAAACUAAGGACAAUAUUUUAAACAACAAAAAAUAUCAAGUAUGCAUUGUGAUGGAGAGGGAAAGUCCUGGGUCCCAAGAGUAUAACAGGCACUGAGCCUAGCAUGGGGUCCAGGCGUCUCUGGCAUCGUGCCUUCCUAGGUCGUGGUUGUCCCUCCUUGUUGCUCCUGCUGUCUUCUUCAGUUACAUCUGCUUCUCUGCAUUUCCUCAUUUUACAGUGUGUGGGAUGCAGUCAUCUCUGAACAGGAAUAGGCAACUGUGCACCUGUUACACCGUGCUUGAUGCUCUGCAUUGAUGUACACUGGGCCCAGGUUUCCCUGGUGGACUGCUUGGGCCGUUCUUGUCAUCUGGCUCUGAAGUCUUUGUUCGCAGAGGUGCACUUGCCAGGUGGGGAAGCCAGAGUUCUGGGGUCCUCUGAUGAGGCCACUCUCACCCUGCUUAUCUUCCCUGACAUACCUAACAGAUGAAGUUCAGGUGCGCGAUGCACCUCAGGCCACAGUGUGGACUGUUGUAACCAAGCGAGUUAUAGAGGAACGCCACCCUUUGAGACAAAUUAAGGAGUCCUUUAUUAGCCAGCGACCGUGAGGCAGCUAACACUCAAAAUUCUCUUGGCCCCGAGGAAGGGGCUGUUUUUUAUUUUUUAUUCCGUGGUCUAAACAGGGGAGGGGGGAGUUUAUUGAAACAAUUUUUACAGAGGCAGAGCUGGCAAAUAGUUAAAAAAUUAAUUGGUUACAAAAGCAGUUACAAAACAAAUAAACAGUUCCAGGUGCAGGGCUUAAACUAUCACAAAGAGAGAAAUGCAGGGGUUUUGUGUGAUAUUCACUGAGUGUGUCCCCAGGAGCUGCUUGUGUGGCUUGCCUAAAUAUCUUAUCAGUAAGUGCAUUCCUGGACGUGCUUUGAGUCAAUUUACACUAGUUGUGGCCUUAAGGGAGGGAGGUAAAGGGGGCUGCACUUGAAGAAACUGAAAUAGAGUCUGUCCGGCUCUCUCUCCGCUAGGAGAGAGUCACUCAGGUUAAAACAGGUAGGGUAUCACAGGACCAUGUACAAUUCUUCAAACUCCAGCUUCAACUCUCUUUCUUAUUGCUCUCUUAAGACAGUAUAUUUAGAUCGGAGUAAAUGAAAGUAAAGUUAUUAGGGGAUAAGAUUAAAAUCGAUCCCAUUUGUAAAAAGGGAAAUAGAUUAUUUGUGAACUGUAAUACUUUUUUUUUAGUGAAGAAUCACCUUAAAACUUGGAACCUGGAUACAAGAUAAUUCCUUCAUUCUGCAAACGUUUAGUAGCAAACUAUAUGCCAGGACUGUGCUAGGUACUAGGGAUACUCUGUGUAUCCCUAGUAUAUAGUAUAUAUACUAGGUUGAAUAUAUAGUAUAAGAUGCCUUGGAGUGUCAGAUAGUUUCAUAUAAAUGGCUCAUGCAGUAUAUAGACAGUGUGGUAAAAAGAGACUACUGAGAUACACAAAGGACAGACAAUAAAGCGUCCUUGAAUGGUAGAUAAACGUGUUUGGACUUUUCACUCAGGGCUGUUGAAGUUUUUGAAGCUCAGUUGUCUCAGAGUUUCGGUGUUUUCAAGCCCUGCUAAGCACUUUUUUCUAGCUGACGAUUGGCCACCAUUACUGAUCAUCUAUUGGCUCUGUCUGAUUCAGCAAUCCCACCACUGAGUAUUUAUGCAAAGGAAAAGAAAUCAAUUUAUCAGAAAGAUAACUGUACUCGUGUAUUUGUUGCAACACUAUUCCCAGUAGCACAGACAUAAAAUCAAACUGAAUGUCCAUCAACAAAUGAUUGGAGAAAGAAAAUGUAGAAAAUAUACACAAUGAAAUACUAUUCAGGCAUAAAAAACAGUAGAAUCAUAACUUUUGAAGACACAUGGAUGGAACUGGAGGCCAUUGUUGUAAGUGAAGCAAGCCAGACACAGAGUAAACAUCGUAUUUUAUCACUCAUAAGCGGGUGCUAAAAGAUGUGAGGGUAUUGAUGUAGAGAGUGGAAUGAUAAUGGAGACUCUGCAGGGUGAGGGGAUGGAAGGGGUGAAUAGUGAGAAAUUACUUAAUGGGUACAAUGUGCAUUAUUCUGGUGAUGGAUACCUAAAAGCCCUGACUUCACCACUAUGCCAUCCAUGCUUACAGCAAAAUUGCACUUGGAACCCAUAAAUUUAUACAAAAAAAGUCUUAGAUCUCUCUCUCUUCUCUCAUAAGCCUCAGAGCUCAAUGAUCCCCUUGGAUCUCCUCAGCCUGCUGAGCUGUGAUUUUCCUACCAAAGGUGAUUUUUGGCAGAGACAAGGGAGUGUUUCAGGAAGAUGUUCUCAGGUGCACGCUUCUAAAGAAACAUUGGAGACUCUUCUACUGGCCUUUAUCUAGUCACUGCUUUAAGCAAGGAAUAAAACAUCUGUUGCUAAAGUUUGUAAAACUGUGUUUCCCACCCACCCUUCAGACCUGACAGAAGAGUUUUUAGGAUUUUAAGGGAACAGCUUUUUCCUGACCCAAAAGGGCACAGUAGUGCAAAGGCCAAUGUCACGUACGUACCUUUUCCCCAUCUGUAAAAUAACUUUCAGAUACGAUUCCCACACCUGGAAUCAGUACAAUGUUUUGACUGAGGUAUUAGAAAAGCUUAUGGGUUCAUUAUCAUUUGAACAUAUGAGUAAUGUAAAAUUUAGGCAGAAUUUUAUUUGAAAGGAUUAUUUAUGCAAUUUCUGAUUAAAUGAUUUAUAUUGCAGUUAUUUCAAACAAUAAAAAUCAGGUCAUUGUGUUUUAAGCUAGAAAUAUUUACAGUAACACAUGGUCUUGAUUAUCUCACAUGAUGAAUUGAAGAUUAAAGCAAAAUAAUUUAUCUUAGGGAAUUCUGUGACAGUUUCUCUUUCUCUUUGCUUUAAUAAUGACUUCAAACUCUUGUACAUGUAUAGAGAACUCCUGACUAAAGAUAUUUUUUUGUCUAUUGUGCUAUGUUUCUGUAACUUUUUAAGAUCUAGAGGAACAUACAAUUAGUCUCAGUUGGCCAACUAAAUGUUAUGGAGUCAGCUUCUGUGUUAUGUGGUGAGCAUUGAAGGAACGGUGGAGACAAGGCUGCUACCCUCGCUGAGUCUGCUGAGAAAACCUGAUGGAGUGUGGCAGGGAACAUUCUGGGAGCAUCCCAGGAUGCCAAAAGCGCACACGGAUGGAACACCUGCCUUAGAACAGGGCAGGGUCAGACAAGGAGAGGUGUCAGGAAAAACAAGGAAAGUUUAAAAUGCCGGAAUAGAAACACACUUGAGAAAUCCAUGGGGAAUGAAAAGAGAAUGGCUGAGCAGCAGCAGAUUGUCAAAAAGGAAAUCAAGAAGGAGCAGCCAAAGAGGUUGAUGGAGAACCAGGAGAAAGAAGAUGACACUGAAGCCAAGGGAAGGAAAGUGUUUCAACAUUUCUGGGAAAAAAUGACAUGCUCUGUCUUAACCUUGCUGUUUUAUGAGUCAUAUAUCCACAUUCCAGGUUCUGAGAAGUCCAGAACUAAGAUGUUUCUUUUAAUUUGCUUAACCCAACAUUUGCCAGAAUAAUCUGGGCUCAGUGUGAGUGUGUGUGCAUGUGUAUGCCUGUGUGUUCUACUAAUGUCUCACUGAGGCUAGUGCUGUACACAACAUAAUUUUUAAAACACUGGUUUUAUCCAUCUUUUUGUUCAGCUGCAGCAACAUUUACAAAGGUCAACUUUGAUCAUGUGUCUUCAUUACUAAAGGAAACAAAACAAACUAAUGAAUAAAGCCCACCUGGCAGUGGGCUGUACAACGGAGCCCACCUGGCUUGGCCUGGAUGCCCUGUGCUGACCUGGCCGUGCUGUCUUCUGCCUGCUGCUUUGCCUCCCCUUUCCUCCUGGAGAAGGUGUGUGGAUCUCGUUCAUUUUCACGUAGACAACGAGAGCGAAACCACAGAGAAAAGAAACAUCCCGUGCAUCACGGCCUGACGAUGGAUUCCUGUUUCCUGCAAAAUGGGGAGUCUCCAAUAUAGCCUGUUUGAAAACCGGAAAGGAGAGCACUGACACAAUGGUGGUCUUCCACGCAUUCCUGGAAGUUUCCGGGACCCCACAGAGCACGGGAAACAAACAGUCAACAUGGUCACGCUUUCAGAGGGCAGAAACUUGAGCAACAGGAACCUUUGCAGAGGGCAAAGAAACGUGGAAUCCAGAAUCACGCUUCAGUUGGCCUAAGUGUGACUCCUGUGUGGAUGGGACUAUCCGCCUCGCGCUCUGUUGCAGGGCUCAACGUGGGGAUAUGUCAUCUGUGAACCAUGUGGAUGAAAAACAGACAACCAGCCCUCCUCUGUGUGGAGUCUCUCGCUGGACCUGGAACUCAGGGAUCCUAGGCAGGUCAGCUGGAAGGGAAGACACGUCUCUCCAUACCAAGCCUGAGGUUCACCGCGAAAGAGAGGCCGCCGCUCUGCCCCCACCCCGCCCCAACCCCGCCCAAACCUGCUCCUCCAGCAGAGCCCAGUGUUCAUCCUGGCUGAGGAGUGGUUCCAGCAAAGCGGGCUCUUCCACGUCCUUCAGCUCCCCCAGUGGCGCCGGAUCUAGGAAAUGUUGUGCCUUUUGCUGAAACUCUGGGGUUGACAGGAGCUCAUCUAACAGGCUGGAGGUGAGUGCAGACGAGCUCCUCGGCUCCUGGAGCGGUUGGGAGGCGCCUGGAUGGCUGGCAUCUGUGCUUGCCGCGGAGGCCUCGGGUCGCGAUCUCCGGAGGUGGAGGUGCCCCGUCUUCGGGUUCCCACGUCACCCUGGCGACCUGGGGCUCCAGCCCCACCACGGAUUCUGGUGGGACGUGGGUGGCACAAGCACACCUUGCCCCUGUGACUCAGCUUGAGGGGGCCCAAAAUGAGCACGCGCCCAGGAGGCCCUCGCGCAGCGGUUUCUGGUCUUCCUGUCAUUUGUUGGGGUGCGGAGGCCACCAGGGAGUCUGAGGAUGGGACAGCCCCAGUUCCGGAGGAACCAGGGCAGGGAACACAAAGCCCCACAUGCUCGGGCAGGUUGGGAGAGUCCUUCUGCCUGCGCAGCCUGGCUGGGCUGGAGCAGGGGGAUGGCCCUUGCUGCCUGGCUCACGAAAGCCCCCUGUGGGAGAGCCCCAGGCGCGCAGGGCAUGUGCGGUGUCGGAAGCGCCGUUCCCCAUGCCCUGUUGUGGGUGAACUCGAUAGAGGAGGGAGGAGGGUGACACCCACCGGUGGUGCCAAUUAGUAACCACAGUGGCCUCAAAGAACUCAAAUGAAAGGAAGACUUUCACGUCUUUCACUUGAAGUCCAGAGCUAGAAAUGAUUAAGCUUAAUGAAGAUGUAGAAUUUUCAUAGCUAGAGAGAAGUCAAUGCUUGGCUUCAAAACUUCAAAGGAUGGGCUGACUCUCUUUGAGGACCACUGCAGCUGGUGACUUUUAAGUUACAGCCCAGUGCUCAUUGACCACUCUGAAAAUCUCAGGGCCCUUAAGAAUUAUGCAAAAUCUAUUCUUUCUGUGCUCUAGAAAUGGAACAUCACUGUCUGGGUGACAGCACAUCUGUUAAUGGCAUGGUUUACUGAAUAUUUUAAUCCCAAUAUUGAGACCUACUGCUCAGAAAAAAAAGUGAUUCCUUUAAAAAGAUUGUUGCUUGGCCAGGCAUAGUGGCUCACACCUGUAAUCCCUGCACUUUGGGAGGCCGAGGAUCACCUGAGGUCAGGAGUUCAAGACCAGCCUGGCCAAAAUGAUGAAACCCCAUCUCUAAUAAAAAUACAAAAAAAUUAGCCGGGCAUGGUGGUAAUACCUGUAAUUUCAGCUACUCAGGAGGCUGAGGCAGAAGAAUGGCUUGAACUCUGGAGGCGGAGGUGGCAGUGAGCCGAGACCACACCACUGCACUCCAGCCUGGGGAACAAGAGCGAAACUACGUCAAAAAAAUAAUAAUAAUAAAAUAAAAUAAAAGGAAAGAAAAGGAAAAAGGAAAAAAAAGAUUGCUGCUUAUUGACAAUUCACCUAGCUACCCAGAAGCUUAGAUGGAGAGGUACUUGGAAAUUAAUGUUAUUUUCAUGGCUGCUAAUACAAUAUUUACCUUCAGCCUGUGGAUCAAGGA